ACGAUUGACGGAGCGAAGCGACGUCAAAGCGUUCAUUAAAGUCGAGUUGGCUUAGGGAUACGUUCGUUGGGUAGGGGAGCGUUCUGUAAGCCUGCGAAGGUGGCCUGUGAGGGUUGCUGGAGGUAUCAGAAGUGCGAAUGCUGACAUAAGUAACGAUAAAGCGGGUGAAAAGCCCGCUCGCCGGAAGACCAAGGGUUCCUGUCCAACGUUAAUCGGGGCAGGGUGAGUCGACCCCUAAGGCGAGGCCGAAAGGCGUAGUCGAUGGGAAACGGGUUAAUAUUCCCGUACUUGGUGUUACUGCGAAGGGGGGACGGAGAAGGCUAUGUUGGCCGGGCGACGGUUGUCCCGGUUUAAGCGUGUAGGUGUGUGUUCCAGGUAAAUCCGGUUCACUUUAACACUGAGGCGUGACGACGAGGCACUACGGUGCUGAAGCAACAAAUGCCCUGCUUCCAGGAAAAGCCUCUAAGCAUCAGGUAACAUCAAAUCGUACCCCAAACCGACACAGGUGGUCAGGUAGAGAAUACCAAGGCGCUUGAGAGAACUCGGGUGAAGGAACUAGGCAAAAUGGUGCCGUAACUUCGGGAGAAGGCACGCUGACACGUAGGUGAAGUGAUUUACUCAUGGAGCUGAAGUCAGUCGAAGAUACCAGCUGGCUGCAACUGUUUAUUAAAAACACAGCACUGUGCAAACACGAAAGUGGACGUAUACGGUGUGACGCCUGCCCGGUGCCGGAAGGUUAAUUGAUGGGGUCAGCGCAAGCGAAGCUCCUGAUCGAAGCCCCGGUAAACGGCGGCCGUAACUAUAACGGUCCUAAGGUAGCGAAAUUCCUUGUCGGGUAAGUUCCGACCUGCACGAAUGGCGUAAUGAUGGCCAGGCUGUCUCCACCCGAGACUCAGUGAAAUUGAACUCGCUGUGAAGAUGCAGUGUACCCGCGGCAAGACGGAAAGACCCCGUGAACCUUUACUAUAGCUUGACACUGAACAUUGAGCCUUGAUGUGUAGGAUAGGUGGGAGGCUUUGAAGUGUGGACGCCAGUCUGCAUGGAGCCGACCUUGAAAUACCACCCUUUAAUGUUU
rnacentral:rRNA from 1 species